CCGUACACAAAAGCGCAUGUGCUGUGAGCUCGAUGAGUAGGGCGGGACACGUGGUAUCCUGUCUGAAUAUGGGGGGACCAUCCUCCAAGGCUAAAUACUCCUGACUGACCGAUAGUGAACCAGUACCGUGAGGGAAAGGCGAAAAGAACCCCGGCGAGGGGAGUGAAAAAGAACCUGAAACCGUGUACGUACAAGCAGUGGGAGC
rnacentral:rRNA from 1 species